rnacentral:lncRNA from 1 species
GUUCGUUUCUGUAAGAUAUAGGUAAAAUAGACUAAUAGUCCGUAGAAUAGUUAGUUCAAGAAGACAAAUGAUUGACUUAGUUAUUAAAAGCAGUUAAUUACAAGAUUACGGAUAAAAUCUGAAAAUCAGGAGUAAUUAUAUAGGAGUUGUAGAAGUUUGUUGGGGUACUAGAUUAUGAUAGUCAUGAGCCGGGGUAAGCUUGGUGUUACCUCUUUGUUUCUUUGUUUCUUUGUUGUUGAAGAAUAAUGGAUAGUUUCUGAAUACUGAGAAGUGAAUCUGUUGAAUAAAUCAGAGAUUGAUUUAUGAGUUAUUGAUUAUGUAAUUGGAGUACUGUGUAAUUGAAUUAUAUGAGGAGUUAUUGGAAGAUUAUGAUUGUUAUUUAUUGAGAGGUGUGUGUGUUUCGACAGAGAAAGUAUGUGAUAACAAAAAUUAUGUGAAUUCAGAUUGGUUGGAGUGAAGUCUGUUAUUCUUGGUGUUGGAUGGAAAUUAUUAUAUUUUGAGUAGUAUUUUGAAUGUGCAAGAUUGUACACUGAUGUUAUUAGUUUAUGAAAGAGUAUUGUUAUUGGGAGAAAGCAUCAUAGUAUUUCUU